UACGUAGGGUCCGAGCGUUGUCCGGAAUUAUUGGGCGUAAAGGGCUCGUAGGCGGUCUGUCGCGUCGGGAGUGAAAUCUUACAGCUUAACUGUGAACUUGCUUCCGAUACGGGCAGACUUGAGGCAUUCAGGGGAGAACGGAAUCCUGGUGUAGCGGUGAAAUGCGCAGAUAUCAGGAGGAACACCGGUGGCGAAGGCGGUUCUCUGGGAAUGUACUGACGCUGAGGAGCGAAAGUGUGGGGAGCGAACAGG
rnacentral:rRNA from 1 species